rnacentral:rRNA from 1 species
CAGCCGCCGCGGUAAAACAGAGGAUGCAAGCGUUAUCCGGAAUGACUGGACGUAAAGCGUCUGUAGGUGGCUUUUCAAGUCCGCCGUCAAAUCCCAGGGCUCAACCCUGGACAGGCGGUGGAAACUACCAAGCUGGAGUACGGUAGGGGCAGAGGGAAUUUCCAGUGGAGCGGUGAAAUGCGUUGAGAUCGAAAAGAACACCAACGGUGAAAGCACUCUGCUGGGCCGACACUGACACUGAGAAACGAAAGUUAGGGGAGAAAAUGGGAUUAGAUACCCCUGUAGUCCCUGUCUCUUAUAC